AUCCAGAUGAUGAGUAUCAAACGGAACGAAACGCGUGUCCUGGAU
rnacentral:hammerhead_ribozyme from 1 species